AAUAGGAGAUUGAAAAAUUAGAUUUUUCCUCCUGAUUUUCAGCUUCUUCCUCCUGAAAAAAAUUCAAAUCCAACUAAAAAUGCUAAAAAUCAGAAAGAAAAAUUUGAUUUGUCAUUCUCCUAUU
rfam:Gossypium raimondii Chr12_contig_544, whole genome shotgun sequence.